GAGUGAACGCUGGCGGUAGGCCUAACACAUGCAAGUCGAACGGCAGCACAGUAAGAGCUUGCUCUUACGGGUGGCGAGUGGCGGACGGGUGAGGAAUACAUCGGAAUCUACUUUUUCGUGGGGGAUAACGUAGGGAAACUUACGCUAAUACCGCAUACGACCUACGGGUGAAAGCAGGGGAUCUUCGGCCCUUUCGCGAUUGAGUGAGCCGAUGUCGGAUUAGCUAGUUGGCGGGGUAAAGGCCCACCAAGGCGACGAUCCGUAGCUGGUCUGAUAGGAUGAUCAGCCACACUGGAACUGAGACACGGUCCAGACUCCUACGGGAGGCAGCAGUGGGGAAUAUUGGACAAUGGGCGCAAGCCUGAUCCAGCCAUACCGCGUGGGUGAAGAAGGCCUUCGGGUUGUAAAGCCCUUUUGUUGGGAAAGAAAAGCAGCAGGUUAAUACCCCGCUGUUCUGACGGUACCCAAAGAAUAAGCACCGGCUAACUUCGUG
rnacentral:rRNA from 1 species